UGCCGUAUGGUCUAGUGGUUAGGACUUGUGGCUUCCACCCGCACGACCUAGAUUCGAUUCCUGGCCCGGGAA
rnacentral:tRNA from 1 species